rnacentral:rRNA from 1 species
AACGUAGGACGCAAGCGUUAUCCGGAGUUACUGGGCGUAAAGGGCGCGUAGGCUGUGCUGUAAGUCAGGCGUGAAAGGCCCGGGCUCAACCUGGGAACUGCGUUUGAUACUGCGGCGCUGGAAUGCAGGAGAGGAUGGCGGAAUUCCCAGUGUAGAGGUGAAAUUCGUAGAUAUUGGGAAGAACACCGGUGGCGAAGGCGGCCAUCUGGCCUGCAAUUGACGCUGAGGCGCGAAAGCGUGGGGAGCAAACAGG